rnacentral:rRNA from 1 species
UAAUACGGGAGUGGCAAGCGUUAUCCGGAAUUAUUGGGCGUAAAGCGUCCGCAGGCGGCCCUUCAAGUCUGCUGUUAAAACGUGGAGCUUAACUCCAUCAUGGCAGUGGAAACUGUUGGGCUUGAGUGUGGUAGGGGCAGAGGGAAUUCCCGGUGUAGCGGUGAAAUGCGUAGAUAUCGGGAAGAACACCAGUGGCGAAGGCGCUCUGCUGGGCCAUCACUGACGCUCAUGGACGAAAGCCAGGGGAGCGAAAGGGAUUAGAUACCCCUGUAGUCCUGGCCGUAAACGAUGAACACUAGGUGUCGGGGGAAUCGACCCCCUCGGUGUCGUAGCCAACGCGUUAAGUGUUCCGCCUGGGGAGUACGCACGCAAGUGUGAAACUCAAAGGAAUUGACGGGGGCCCGCACAAGCGGUGGAGUAUGUGGUUUAAUUCGAUGCAACGCGAAGAACCUUACCAGGGUUUGACAUCCUGCGAAUCUCUUGGAAACGAGAGAGUGCCUUCGGGAGCGCAGUGACAGGUGGUGCAUGGCUGUCGUCAGCUCGUGUCGUGAGAUGUUGGGUUAAGUCCCGCAACGAGCGCAACCCACGUCUUUAGUUGCCAGCAUUUAGUUGGGCACUCUAGAGAGACCGCCGGUGAUAAACCGGAGGAAGGUGUGGAUGACGUCAAGUCAUCAUGCCCCUUACAUCCUGGGCUACACACGUACUACAAUGCUACGGACAAAGAGCAGCAAGUUCGCGAGGACAAGCAAAUCUCAUAAACCGUGGCUCAGUUCAGAUCGUAGGCUGCAACUCGCCUACGUGAAGGAGGAAUCGCUAGUAAUCGCAGGUCAGCAUACUGCGGUGAAUACGUUCCCGGGCCUUGUACACACCGCCCGUCACACCAUGGAAGUUGGCCACGCCCGAAGCCGUUACUCCAACCCUUGUGGAGGAGGGCGUCGAAGGUGGGGCUGAUGACUGGGGUGAAGUCGUA